rnacentral:rRNA from 1 species
UGGGGAAUAUUGCACAAUGGGGGAAACCCUGAUGCAGCGACGCCGCGUGAACGAAGAAGGUAUUCGUAUCGUAAAGUUCUGUCCUAUGGGAAGAUAAUGACAAUACCAUAGAAGAAAGCUCCGGCUAAAUACGUGCCAGCAGCCGCGGUAAUACGUAUGGAGCGAGCGUUGUCCGGAAUUAUUGGGCGUAAAGGGUACGCAGGCGGUUUAAUAAGUCGAAUGUUAAAGAUCGGGGCUCAACCCCGUAAAGCAUUGGAAACUGAUAAACUUGAGUAGUGGAGAGGAAAGUGGAAUUCCUAGUGUAGUGGUGAAAUACGUAGAUAUUAGGAGGAAUACCAGUAGCGAAGGCGACUUUCUGGACACAAACUGACGCUGAGGUACGAAAGCGUGGGGAGCAAACAGG